GUAUGUGAGCGCUGAUAGCUGAUUCUCUCCGUUGCCAGUACGGGAGGGGCCUUUUUACUCUUCUGCCAACUUGCCUUUCAGUGUUUUCGUUUGGUGGUGAUAUCAUUAGAUAUCUAAGGAGUGAUACUCCAAUGUUAAGCAAUCUUAUGAAAUCUGUUUGAUCUUACCAACUAGAAUUCUUCUCGUCCUUUUAUAGUAAACUUCAAUAUUGUCCUUAUACUCUUGCCACUUGCCAAUAGCCUUCAAUCAGAACAUACAACACACGUUUUAUCCAGUAUUUGCACGAUGGCAAUACCAUCCUUAGAUAUCUAAGGAGUAUUCCAGUGAUUCAAUUUUUAGAAAUCUUGUUUCUUAGGUGAUGAUUCCCCCCUUGUUUCUUAG
rnacentral:lncRNA from 1 species